GACGAACGCUGGCGGCGUGCUUAAUACAUGCAAGUCAACUGAACUUAGGAUAGCAAUAUUUUAAGGGAGGUGGCGCACGGGUGAGUAACACGUAGGUAAUCUGCCAUUAGGUCUGACAUAACCUACCGAAAGGUAGGCUAAAAUCAGAUGAUGCAGCGGCUCGACAUCGAGACAGUUGUUAAAUCUUCGGAGCCUAAAGAUGAGCCUGCGUCUGAUUAGGUAGUUGGCGGUGUAAUGGACCACCAAGCCUGCGAUCAGUAGCUGGUCUGAGAGGAUGAUCAGCCACACUGGAAACUGAGACACGGUCCAGACUCCU
rnacentral:rRNA from 1 species